rnacentral:rRNA from 1 species
AGAGUUUGAUCCUGGCUCAGGAUGAACGCUAGCGACAGGCUUAACACAUGCAAGUCGAGGGGCAGCAUGAUAGGUAGCAAUACUUAUUGAUGGCGACCGGCGCACGGGUGAGUAACGCGUAUGCAACUUACCUAUCAGAGGGGGAUAACCCGGCGAAAGUCGGACUAAUACCGCAUGAAGCAGGGGCCCCGCAUGGGGAUAUUUGCUAAAGAUUCAUCGCUGAUAGAUAGGCAUGCGUUCCAUUAGGCAGUUGGCGGGGUAACGGCCCACCAAACCGACGAUGGAUAGGGGUUCUGAGAGGAAGGUCCCCCACAUUGGUACUGAGACACGGACCAAACUCCUACGGGAGGCAGCAGUGAGGAAUAUUGGUCAAUGGCCGAGAGGCUGAACCAGCCAAGUCGCGUGAAGGAUGAAGGAUCUAUGGUUUGUAAACUUCUUUUAUAGGGGAAUAAAGUGUGGAACGUGUUCCAUUUUGUAUGUACCCUAUGAAUAAGCAUCGGCUAACUCCGUGCCAGCAGCCGCGGUAAUACGGAGGAUGCGAGCGUUAUCCGGAUUUAUUGGGUUUAAAGGGUGCGUAGGUGGUAAUUUAAGUCAGCGGUGAAAGUUUGUGGCUCAACCAUAAAAUUGCCGUUGAAACUGGGUUACUUGAGUGUGUUUGAGGUAGGCGGAAUGCGUGGUGUAGCGGUGAAAUGCAUAGAUAUCACGCAGAACUCCAAUUGCGAAGGCAGCUUACUAAACCAUAACUGACACUGAAGCACGAAAGCGUGGGUAUCAAACAGGAUUAGAUACCCUGGUAGUCCACGCAGUAAACGAUGAUUACUAGGAGUUUGCGAUACACAGUAAGCUCUACAGCGAAAGCGUUAAGUAAUCCACCUGGGGAGUACGCCGGCAACGGUGAAACUCAAAGGAAUUGACGGGGGCC